GACGAACGCUGGCGGCGUGCUUAACACAUGCAAGUCGAACGGAAAGGCCCUGCUUUUGUGGGGUGCUCGAGUGGCGAACGGGUGAGUAACACGUGAGUAACCUGCCCUUGACUUUGGGAUAACUUCAGGAAACUGGGGCUAAUACCGGAUAGGAGCUCCUGCUGCAUGGUGGGGGUUGGAAAGUUUCGGCGGUUGGGGAUGGACUCGCGGCUUAUCAGCUUGUUGGUGGGGUAGUGGCUUACCAAGGCUUUGACGGGUAGCCGGCCUGAGAGGGUGACCGGCUGCGUUGGCAGUGCGCUACCGCCCAGACUCCUCCGGGGUGCAGGGGUGGGGACUAGUGCCGAAUGCGCGGAGCCCUGAUGCAGCGACGCCGCGUGCGGGCUGCGGGCCUUCGGGAUGUAAACCGCUGUCGCCUGUGAAGAGGGGGGGGUGACGGUAAGGGACAAAGCAGCCCCGGCUAACUACGCGCCAGCGGCCGCGGAUGAU
rnacentral:rRNA from 1 species